GGACCAGCCACAGGUUAAUAGCUGCCUCUGGGCACCAGGUCAGCCCACUGCCAAAGCAGGAAAAGGUCUCAGGCUCCCUGGGCAAGGCUGCACCUCCCCCAACCCACACCACCAUGUCCAUCUCCAGGGGCACCUGGAGAGCUUGUUGCCAUUGAGCCUGGGGCUGAGAUCCUGGUCUGCCCAGUGCCACUCUCAGAAUGGAGGGACAAGGCAACAGGCCUUUAUGGGGUGGGUCCACCCUCUUCAGGGCAGCCCUGGGCCCAAAGGCUGCAGGGCCCGUGUUCCAGGCUUGCAGCCUCCAGGUUGGUGGUUCCAUCCCUCUUCCCUUGCCACUGUGUCCUGUGUCCAGUUGCUCUGCCAGCCCCUCCCAGGAGCCUGGCUAUAGUCUCCCAAGAACCUGAGCUCUGGGUUAGAGCCUGGGCAUCAUCUGUGACUCUAAGUGUCAGCUGGGACUGAAGGCCGCUGACAACACAGAAGGCUGGUCUGAUUCACAUGCCAACCCUUGAGCCUCACAGACCACUCUGACUGAAUUAGUCCGGGGUGGGCCCUGGCCUUGGUAUCCUUAAGGAGCUCCUCAGGACGUUCUAAUAUACAGACUGGGUGGAGAGCUUGUGGUCUGGGACAGCAGACACGAUGACCAGGGUAUGAACAACACCCAGAGGAGUCUCAAGGGUUUAGGAGACAAACCCAGCAGUUUAAGUUGAUGCAUGUGUACAGGUUGUAUAUACACACGCAUACACACAGCAUGUGCAUACAGGCAUACACACCUGUGGGCACACCCCCCACAAACCCUCAGGAAGCAGGAUGAACCCCAGCUGCUCCUCCAGUUCCUGUCACCCGCACAAGGGACCGGGAAGCCUCAUGGUAGAAAGACGCCUGAUGCCGCGUGGCCAGCAUUCUCCUUCUACACAUGAGGAAAUAGAGUCCCAGACAGGGUAAGACUCCUGUCAGCAUGGUCGCGGCCAUGUGGAUGUGACUCCUUGGUGGCAGGAUGGCAUGGGCAUGUCCACGGACUCUAACUGCACUGAGAAAGCAUGACUCACCAUGCUCCAGGGAUGCCCCCUUCUCUCAACCCCGAGCCUGAACACAUUCCUUCACUGCCCACACGGCCCUUUCUCUUUGCCCCAUUGCCCCUCUCCCCCAAGCCCCAGGACAAGCUUUGCUCCUGCCCUGCGAUGCCCCAACCCUCACACCUACAUACUCCUGCACACUCCCCUCUUGCCUGCGCACAGGGCAGUUACUUGGGCCCCCUGGGCUCCCACAGCACUUUGGGGAUGCUUGCCCAUGACCACAGUGACAUUAUUUGUCCCCAUGACUGUCUUCCCUAGUGGACCCACAGCUCGCCCAGGGCAGUGCCUGAGAUCAUGUGCCCUUCCCAUCCCAGGCCUUACACAGCUACUUGAGGUACUGCAAAGGUUUGAUAUGACAGUGAGGGUACCAGUCAAAGUCAAGGAUCCCUGUAGGCAUUUCUACCUCCCCUGGUCUUCAGGAAGGUCUUGUCAUAACCACUCUCAUCCCUGAGGUUUAAGGUCUUAGGAUUAAAAUUACCGUCAUUCAUUGGACACUGAAUGGUGGUAGCUCCUGUGUCAGGACCCAAAUGCCAGGAGAGCCAUGGGAUGGUUCUGAUCCCGCCAGCUGAACUUGGGGCACAUGGGGUGGCCAGGACCUUGCAGACUCCCCCAGGCACCAAACCAGAGUUGGUGCUCUAUGGAGCAGUUCAGGCACCAGCACCCUCCUGUGAGGACUGCUGUCUUUCUCUAAGAGGCCAGCAGAGACACCCACACUCCAUGGCACAGAUUAGGGGGUCUAAAGGGAAGCUCCAGGAACCCCAUGUCUGCUGGGGGACCUACCACAGCCUCAAGGGACUCUGUGCUCAACGUCAAGCCUGGCCAAGUCACUCAUCCAGUAUAAUCCUAACGCCACCUGUGUGCUGGGCACCGUGGAAGACAAAAAGGGAAGGGUGACUUGGAUCUGGUCCCAGCUUUCGGGAGCUCCAGGCUGUGGGGCAGAUGGCUGUGCAAACAGGCUGUGAUAAAUGACACAGGAUGCUGCAUUCCAGGUUCUGUGCACAUACCUGCUGACAUGGUACCCAGGACCUAAGAAAGGGAGGAAGGGAAGAACCCGAAACUCCUCCCAGAUCAUGGAGUAACAGCCUCAAAGAAUCAGGGGUUCUCACCAGCAACUAAAACCGUGAUUCUGCAGUCAAGGAUACUGAGGCUUCUACAGAACCUUUACUUCAGAGCUUUAGCUCCCAUGAUAGCAGCCCCAAGGAACACAUGAAUGAACAUUCUAUUCCCAAACCUGCUGAUGAAAAGAAAACUGCCCCAAAUCUGGUCUGGGACAGAGCUUUUUGUGUGGUGUAACUAUAGCC